GCCCCGAUGGUGUAGCUCGGCCAAUCAUUGCGGACUUUCACUCCGCAGACCCGGGUUCAAAUCCCGGUCGGGGCACCA
rnacentral:tRNA from 1 species